CUGUAGUUGUUCUGGUAACUAUGGUGUCCCUUUAAAGUAUUCUGUCCAGAUGUAUCCAGCACAGUCCAACUAACACAGAGAGGUUGUAGAAUUCCAUUUUUCUCAGUCCUCUUUCUUAUACUCCAAGUCUCUUCCAUCCCUGACCUGAUUUGCCAUUUAGCUCCUAAGCUCAAAAACUCCAGGAACCAGACAAGCUGUUCACAUAAUAAAAAAGCACAAUGUUUUGUUUUGUUAUUUCCUGGAGUUGGAGAUUGUGUCAUAGCUGCAAGCCAAGCUGGCAGCAAAAAAACAAAUACAAAGGAUAUUUACACAUGUACGGUUGUAUGAAGAAUAGACGUACGUUUAAUGUAUGUUCUUGGAAUGCCAUGUCUUGUGAUCGCUGUGACAGUC